UACGAGGGGGGCGAGCGUUGUUCGGAAUUAUUGGGCGGAAAGGGUGCGUAGGCGGUUUGGUAAAUCUUAUGUGAAAUCUACAGGCUCAACUUGUAGUCUGCAUGAGAAACUGCCGGGCUUGAGUAUGGGAGAGGUGAGUGGAAUUCCUGGUGUAGCGGUGAAAUGCGUAGAUAUCAGGAGGAACACCUGUGGCGAAAGCGGCUCACUGGACCAUAACUGACGCUGAUGCACGAAAGCUAGGGGAGCAAACAGG
rnacentral:rRNA from 1 species